rnacentral:rRNA from 1 species
GAUAAACGCUGGCGGCGUGCUUAACACAUGCAAGUCGAACGGUGAAGCAGAGCUUGCUCUGUGGAUCAGUGGCGAACGGGUGAGUAACACGUGAGCAACCUGCCCCGGACUCUGGGAUAAGCGCUGGAAACGGCGUCUAAUACCGGAUACGAGAUUCCACCGCAUGGUGAGUUUCUGGAAAGAUUUUUUGGUCUGGGAUGGGCUCACGGCCUAUCAGCUUGUUGGUGAGGUAAUGGCUCACCAAGGCGUCGACGGGUAGCCGGCCUGAGAGGGUGACCGGCCACACUGGGACUGAGACACGGCCCAGACUCCUACGGGAGGCAGCGGUGGGGAAUAUUGCACAAUGGGCGGAAGCCUGAUGCAGCAACGCCGCGUGAGGGAUGACGGCCUUCGGGUUGUAAACCUCUUUUAGCAGGGAAGAAGCGAAAGUGACGGUACCUGCAGAAAAAGCGCCGGCUAACUACGUGCCAGCCGCCGCGGUAA